CCUGGCGUCAUACGUCACGGGCAGGUGUGACCAAUCCGAGGCGACGGCUGGCUGCCACCGCCAAGCUUGUGUGCGGAGCUCAGCGGAAGUGAGCGCUUCACUCUCAUUCAUCCACAAGCGGUUUGUUUUGCAGUUUGACAGAGCAGCGCGACACACUCCUGAGGGGCCGUGUAGCUCUGAGCGUGAGGGGAUCUGACCAGAAAGAGCCCUUCAUCUUCAGUAUGAUGGCCAACACGGUUGGCGCAGCGGCUCUGUGUGGAGACCUGAAGGCCUUUCUGAACCAAAAACCUUUCCAAAGGUAAAAAUAACUCCUUGUUACUCUGUAAUAUGUAUUUAUUUGCAGACAAAUUUGUGUGACGCAUAAGUUCAGAAAUAAAUAGAUCUAAGUUAAUGAAUUAUCUUAGUACAAGGGCUGAUUCUUCAAGUGCAGGUUCAUUUAGAGUGCAAUAAACUAUUUCCAUAUGCUUUCAUUUUUCAGUUUGGCAGUAAAAAAAAAUUGCAGGCAAUUACUGGCAGGCAGUGUAACUUUUAUGUACUAUAGACCGUAAAUGGCUCUCGUCUAAUUGCACCACACACACAGACAUUAAGUGACUGACUGAGACUCAAACCCAUUCUGGUGUCGUAGGUUUCAUUAUAACGUGACAGAACAUUAACAGUGAUUCCUAAAAUAUGUUUGAUAGCUCCAUACCAUAAUAAAGCUCGUUUAAUUAAGUGUUGAGACUUUCCCUCAAGUACUAACAGUAUGCACGCUGUGAAAUAUAGAUUUUUCCUUUUCUAAUUAACUAUGAUCUUCAUUUAAACAAUUCAAUGUUGAUUGCUAAAGUCCCAAGAUUCAUCUUACCCUUUCAGUGAAUGCAUAAAAA
rnacentral:lncRNA from 1 species